UUCUGGUCCAGGGCCUUCCUGGUUCUCAGGGUCCCAUCGGCCUGCCAGGAGAGAAGGGUCCCCAGGGGAACGGUGGGCUGCAGGGACUCUCUGGUAUCGAUGGCCCUACUGGCCAUCCAGGAAGAGAAGGCCCUCCAGGAGAGAAGGGGCUCAAUG